UUUCUCCUACGGGACGCAGCAGUGAGGAAUAUUGGUCAAUGGGAGAGAUCCUGAACCAGCCACGCCGCGUGAGGGAAUAAGGCCCUACGGGUCGUAAACCUCUUUUGCCGGGGAGCAAGGGCCGGGACGCGUCCCGGCCCGGAGAGUACCCGGAGAAAAAGCAUCGGCUAACUCCGUGCCAGCAGCCGCGGUAAUACGGAGGAUGCGAGCGUUAUCCGGAUUUAUUGGGUUUAAAGGGUGCGUAGGCGGGCUUUUAAGUCAGCGGUAAAAAUUCGGGGCUCAACCCCGUCCGGCCGUUGAACCUG
rnacentral:rRNA from 1 species